AACGAACGCUGGCGGCGUGUUUAAGACAUGCAAGUCGUACGGGACUAUUUGAGUAGCAAUACAAGAAUAGUCUAGUGGCGCACGGGUGAGUAACACGUGAAUUACAUGCCCUGCAGAGGGGGAUAGCCCAGGGAAACUUGGAUUAAUACCCCAUGGUAUCGCGAGAUUAAAGGUGGCCGCAAGGCUGUCGCUGCAGGAUUGGUUCGCGCCCUAUCAGCUUGUUGGUGAGGUACCGGCUCACCAAGGCUACGACGGGUACCUGGUCUGAGAGGACGAUCAGGCACACUGGAACUGAGACACGGUCCAGACACCUACGGGUGGCAGCAGUCGAGAAUAAUUCACAAUGGGGGCAACCCUGAUGGUGCAACGCCGCGUGGAGGAUGAAGGUCUUCGGAUUGUAAACUCCUGUCAUCCGGGAGUAAGACCUGGCGAUGAAUAGUCGACAGGGUUGAUAGUACCGGAAGAGGAAGGGACGGCUAACUUCGUGCCAGCAGCCGCCGUAA
rnacentral:rRNA from 1 species